GUCGAACGAGAAAGGCAUAUNCGGAUGCUAAGUAUAGUAGGCAACGGGUAGAGUAACGCGUAGGGAAACCUGCCCUUUGGUUGGGGACAACACUUCUAACGAGGUAGCUAAUACCGAAUACUGUCAUCGGAUCGCAUGUACUGGUGAUGAAAGGCGGCCUCUACAUAGUAAGCUGUCGCCAAAGGAUGGUCCCGCGUUCCAUUAGCUUGUUGGUGAGGUAACGGCUCACCAAGGCGAUGAUAGAUAGCCGGCCUUAGCGGGUAGACCGGCCACACUAGGACUGAGAUACGGCCCAGACUUCUACGGAGGGCAGCAGUCGAGAGGCUUCCACAAUGGGGGAAACCCUAGAUAGGAGCGACGCCGCGUAGGUAGAUAGAAGGUAGUACGGAUCGUAAAGCCCUUUCGACAGGGACGAACGGCAUAGGGGUAAAUAUCUCCCAAGCAAAGACGGUACCUGUAAAAGAAGCUCCGGCUAACUCCGUGCCAAGCAGCCGCGGUAAGACGGAGGGAG
rnacentral:rRNA from 1 species